rnacentral:lncRNA from 10 species
AGUUGCUGGGGGUCCCUAGGCCGGGCCCCAGGACAUCUAGGACAUGCCGGGGGCUGUUUGCUACGGCUUCAUCCCGGAGCUCCUGCUCGGGGUUGCCGGCUGCCUCUGCUGGCGUCCCUCUUCCCUUCCUUUGCGUAAGCGGCAACUCCUCCAGGAAGCCAGGGGAAGGACGGGAUUUCCUCUCCACGUAGGGUAGUAGAUCGCAUAGCCCAGCCGGAUCGCCCAGCAGGAGUGCAGGGCGCGCGUCGGGGUGUCUCCGGCUUGUGGGUGUGCGGUUCGAAACCUUAGCUGGGGUGGGGGAAGGGAUGUCUUUAACCUUCUGUCUACCGUCCCCCUCUUCCCUCUCUCAGCCUAGAGGCAGGGGAUGCUGCGGAAUCAGACUGGGUGCACCAAGGCGGAGGGCCAUGCCGGGCUUCGCCCUUCCUGGGUGUCCCGGAGUCCGUUCCGGAGAAACCCUGGCAUUGCCAGAACUGGGUCCCCGCACUCACUCCUCCAUAAUUCGCGGCGGAUCAGCGGGAGGAGGGCAGAGGGCGGGGGCGAGGCAGCUUCCUGGCGGGUGUGGCGCAAAGUGUGCGGGGUGUGGCGCAAAGUGCGCGGACCCGGGUCCUGGACCGAAGAUUUAGCCCAGGGUUUCGUGUGUGUUGCUCCCUGUUGCUUUCUACGGGGUCUGCGCUGGCCUCCUCCUCGGGCGACUGGGCCCUGAGGCAACAGCGCCUUCUCGAGCCCCGAGGAUUGACCGCCCCGAGCCUGCUUGGAGCAGGGCCUCUCUCCAGCGCGGUGUGAUGAAACACCAGCUGCUGUGAAGAUAUACCCUUAGAAACGAACCGUCUGUUAAUAUGGUAAAAAACCAUUCUUCCAGGAGAGGCUCCUCCAAGCAAACUUCCCCUUACAUCUCUUACCAGAACUGGGUCACAUGCUCCCAUCUAAAACAACCACUGGCCAUUAGAAAUGGUGUUACCAUGCCUGUCUUGGACCAAUCACAUUUGAUCCUCUGAGGAUAGAGACAUGUUGCCACCUGAACAACUGUGGGGUGCUGUACUCCUGGCAAGCAGGGAGAAUGGCUGUGGCUAGGCAACUGACAGCAUCUACCACAAAUAUGUUACUCAGAAGAAGAAUCGAGGAUGGCCAUAAUUUUUAUUUAAAGAUUUCUAUUUUACAGAGGCAUAUCUGAUUAAGGGACAUUUAAACUUCCCUGUUAAACUUAUCAAGACAAAAAGACAAGGCAUCUUGCCACAUUUCUUAAAUAUUCUCUGCAGUCUCUCUUGACCUUUUCCCAGCUGUGCUGUAAACAUAAAGAUAAUAACAUAUCUGAAUAACAUUUUAUGGUGCACAGAUAAUUUUCACAUACAUUAUCCAUUUGACCCUCACCAUAACUGUGUGGGGUAGGUAAGGUACGAUUGUACUUUUCAUUAAUUUUUUUUUUUUUGAGACACAGUCUCGUUCUGUCACCCAGGCUAGAGUGCAGUGGUGCGAUCUGGGCUCACUGCAACCUCCACCUCCCAGGUUCAAGUGAUUCUCCUGCCUCAGCCUCCAAGUAGCUGGGAUUACAGGCAAGUGCCACCAUGCCUGGCUAGUUUUUGUAAUUUUUUAGUAGAGACAGGGUUUCACCAUGUUGGCCAGGCUGGUCUAGAACUCCUGACCUCAGGUGAUCCACGUGCCUCGGCCUCCCAAAGUGCUGGGGUUACAGGCAUGAGCCACUGCUCCUGGCCACUUUUCAUUAAUUUUUAUUGGACUUAGGAUUAGAAGGAUGAGCAAAUCCUACUACUUAGUGCGUGGAAUACUGGCAUCUAUUGUUUUUGCUUGGCUCCUCUCUUGUUUUAAUAAUUAACUAAUCGAUCCAUUCUCUUUUAUUGCCAUCUCCCACUCACACUUUUUCCUCCACAUAGGCAAUCAUUCUAAAUAUGUCCAAUGUUUAUCUUAUUUGUAUGCGUAUUUAUAAAGUGAAUAUUUUGUUUAGUGUGUAUGCAGUUUCGUUUGCAUAAAUUGUAAUAUUCUGUGAAUCUCAUUCUGUUUUGUACUUUUUUCAUUCUGCUCUGUUUUUAGAAGUGAUCCAUGUUGCUAUGUGUAUCUACUCCAUUGCCUUUAAAUGCUGCAUAAUACUCCACGGUGUUUGUCGAUCAUGUUUUACUCAUCUUUGCCCCCUAGUGGAAACCAUGAUGGCCUCCAACUCUGCACACAAAUAGUUUCAAACAAGAACCGCUGGUGAAAUGUGACUGCUGAUGGACCUGGGUGGGAAUUUCUCUGGGAUGCCGACUAAAAAGCAUGGUGGCUGGGUCAUAAAAUGCACACUUAAUUUGAAUAAGUGCCACCCAGUGGCUCUCCACAAAGCCUGCACUAGUCCAUUCUACUAGAAAUUAUUCACAUUUAACUGGAAACUGGGUCUUGGAGAUGUUAAGUAACUUGCUCAAGCUCACAUAAGGAGUAAAAGUGAAUUAGGACAUCCAGGACCCAAAUCCAGGCCUUGUAACUUCAGGUCAAUUUUAUUUUCCAGGGCACCACCCUCUAAGUCUCUGGAUCAUAAUAUGGAGCACUAAUAAAAAGAUUUCUUGAGGCUUUUGUUAUUUACAUAAUGAAUUUCAGAAAUGGCUUACUGGUGCUACUGGCAAGUUGCAGGCAGAAGAAAGAAUGAAAGCGAAUGGGCAUCUCAUGUUCUAUUCUCUGAUUCAACCUGUUUUGGGUCCCUUUUGACUGCUUUACCACAGUUGCUAUUACAUUAUUUUGGGAAGUAUUUAAAAAAGAAGAGAAAGUGCUGGAUAUCUGAACUCCUUUCCUCCAGUCUGCCAUGGGCCAAAAUGUAGUACCACCAUGCCUGACUAGAAAGUAAAAGAGGAAUCAUAGAAUCAGAUAGUGUUAUAACCAGAAUGGGCCUUACAGACCAUUUAGUCUAGUCCUCCCAUUUUAUAGAUGAGAAAAUGGAGGCCCAGAGAGAGGAAGACAGUUGCCUGAGGUCACACAGCUGGAAGGAGAGCAGGAUGGGCACCCAGGCUUUCUGAAAACCAGUCUCUUUGAUGCAGGUGAACCCCCACAUUGGGGCUCAGCUCAAGAGGGUUCUUAGCUUUGCUCAGGAAGGAAUUCAAGAGUGAGCUGACAGUUAAAGAAAGCAAGUUUUUAGAGCAAUAGUGUACAGCAAAAUGGCUGCUCCACAGACAGAGCAGGGCCAUCCCAUAGGCAGAGUAGCACUUGUGCAUUGCUGGCUAGCUCUAUUUAUAGCUGCUCCUAAUUAUAUGCUAAAUAAGCGGUGGGUUAUUCACAGAUUUUCUAGAAAAGGUGUGGGGAAUUUCCAGAACUGAUGGUUCCUUCCUCUUUAAACCAUGUAAGGUAACUUCUGGGUUUUGCCAUGACAUCAACUGUCAUGGUGCUGGUGGGAAGUGUUUUACAGCAUGCAAAUGUAUUAUAAUUCCUAGUCCUAACUGCUUUUGGCUGGUUCCUUUGCUACAUCCUGUUUUGAUCAGCAGUGUCAUGAAAACAAGUCCUGUUCAUCUCCUACCUCUCCUUGCCCUUUCCACUUUUCUGCACACAGCAACUUUCACCUGCGCACCCAGGAAUCCACACUUUAAGUCUUAACAACCUGAGGUGUUGUUGAGAAAAAACUACAAACAGUGGUGCGCUGGCAAAUCUUUAACAAUCACCUGGGGUGGGGUGGGGUGUGGAUAAACAAGCCUUAUUUGUAGCAUAUGGCCAAUUUCAAGCUGCCAAAGUGCUGUCACUGAACGUGAAGUAGUGGGAGCAGGGCAGCAGAGGGCCACCAAUCAGAGGCAUUUCCACCAAACAGAUGCAAUUGGCAUAAGUAACUGCAAGGGCACGGACAACCGCAAGGUCUGCUAAAAGGAUUAGGAAGUGAUGAGUUUUGAGUGUUUAUUACUUUUGGUUUUAGUGUAACUUAUUUGUAAGCUUACAUAAUUUAAUGUCUAAUAAGGGCAAUGUUUA